GCCCUGGACGAAGAGGACUUCAUCCAGUACAUCAUCACCAGGCUGGGUCCUGAAUUCAGCGAGGUGGUGUCAGCCGUGUGCGCUAGGGUUGAGCCCAUCACGGUUGGGGAGUUGUAUUCGCAACUCCUUAGAUUUGAGA
rnacentral:snoRNA from 1 species